GGUUAAGCGACUAAGCGUACACGGUGGAUGCCCUGGCAGUCAGAGGCGAUGAAGGACGUGCUAAUCUGCGAUAAGCGUCGGUAAGGUGAUAUGAACCGUUAUAACCGGCGAUUUCCGAAUGGGGAAACCCAGUGUGUUUCGACACACUAUCAUUAACUGAAUCCAUAGGUUAAUGAGGCGAACCGGGGGAACUGAAACAUCUAAGUACCCCGAGGAAAAGAAAUCAACCGAGAUUCCCCCAGUAGCGGCGAGCGAACGGGGAGCAGCCCAGAGCCUGAAUCAGUGUGUGUGUUAGUGGAAGCGUCUGGAAAGGCGCGCGAUACAGGGUGACAGCCCCGUACACAAAAAUGCACAUGCUGUGAGCUCGAUGAGUAGGGCGGGACACGUGGUAUCCUGUCUGAAUAUGGGGGGACCAUCCUCCAAGGCUAAAUACUCCUGACUGACCGAUAGUGAACCAGUACCGUGAGGGAAAGGCGAAAAGAACCCCGGCGAGGGGAGUGAAAAAGAACCUGAAACCGUGUACGUACAAGCAGUGGGAGCCUCUUUAUGGGGUGACUGCGUACCUUUUGUAUAAUGGGUCAGCGACUUAUAUUCUGUAGCAAGGUUAACCGAAUAGGGGAGCCGAAGGGAAACCGAGUCUUAACUGGGCGUUAAGUUGCAGGGUAUAGACCCGAAACCCGGUGAUCUAGCCAUGGGCAGGUUGAAGGUUGGGUAACACUAACUGGAGGACCGAACCGACUAAUGUUGAAAAAUUAGCGGAUGACUUGUGGCUGGGGGUGAAAGGCCAAUCAAACCGGGAGAUAGCUGGUUCUCCCCGAAAGCUAUUUAGGUAGCGCCUCGUGAAUUCAUCUCCGGGGGUAGAGCACUGUUUCGGCAAGGGGGUCAUCCCGACUUACCAACCCGAUGCAAACUGCGAAUACCGGAGAAUGUUAUCACGGGAGACACACGGCGGGUGCUAACGUCCGUCGUGAAGAGGGAAACAACCCAGACCGCCAGCUAAGGUCCCAAAGUCAUGGUUAAGUGGGAAACGAUGUGGGAAGGCCCAGACAGCCAGGAUGUUGGCUUAGAAGCAGCCAUCAUUUAAAGAAAGCGUAAUAGCUCACUGGUCGAGUCGGCCUGCGCGGAAGAUGUAACGGGGCUAAACCAUGCACCGAAGCUGCGGCAGCGACGCUUAUGCGUUGUUGGGUAGGGGAGCGUUCUGUAAGCCUGUGAAGGUGUGCUGUGAGGCAUGCUGGAGGUAUCAGAAGUGCGAAUGCUGACAUAAGUAACGAUAAAGCGGGUGAAAAGCCCGCUCGCCGGAAGACCAAGGGUUCCUGUCCAACGUUAAUCGGGGCAGGGUGAGUCGACCCCUAAGGCGAGGCCGAAAGGCGUAGUCGAUGGGAAACAGGUUAAUAUUCCUGUACUUGGUGUUACUGCGAAGGGGGGACGGAGAAGGCUAUGUUGGCCGGGCGACGGUUGUCCCGGUUUAAGCGUGUAGGCUGGUUUUCCAGGCAAAUCCGGAAAAUCAAGGCUGAGGCGUGAUGACGAGGCACUACGGUGCUGAAGCAACAAAUGCCCUGCUUCCAGGAAAAGCCUCUAAGCAUCAGGUAACAUCAAAUCGUACCCCAAACCGACACAGGUGGUCAGGUAGAGAAUACCAAGGCGCUUGAGAGAACUCGGGUGAAGGAACUAGGCAAAAUGGUGCCGUAACUUCGGGAGAAGGCACGCUGAUAUGUAGGUGAAGCGACUUGCUCGUGGAGCUGAAAUCAGUCGAAGAUACCAGCUGGCUGCAACUGUUUAUUAAAAACACAGCACUGUGCAAACACGAAAGUGGACGUAUACGGUGUGACGCCUGCCCGGUGCCGGAAGGUUAAUUGAUGGAGUCAGCGCAAGCGAAGCUCUUGAUCGAAGCCCCGGUAAACGGCGGCCGUAACUAUAACGGUCCUAAGGUAGCGAAAUUCCUUGUCGGGUAAGUUCCGACCUGCACGAAUGGCGUAAUGAUGGCCAGGCUGUCUCCACCCGAGACUCAGUGAAAUUGAACUCGCUGUGAAGAUGCAGUGUACCCGCGGCAAGACGGAAAGACCCCGUGAACCUUUACUAUAGCUUGACACUGAACAUUGAGCCUUGAUGUGUAGGAUAGGUGGGAGGCUUUGAAGUGUGGACGCCAGUCUGCAUGGAGCCGACCUUGAAAUACCACCCUUUAAUGUUUGAUGUUCUAACGUUGACCCGUGAUCCGGGUUGCGGACAGUGUCUGGUGGGUAGUUUGACUGGGGCGGUCUCCUCCUAAAGAGUAACGGAGGAGCACGAAGGUUGGCUAAUCCUGGUCGGACAUCAGGAGGUUAGUGCAAUGGCAUAAGCCAGCUUGACUGCGAGCGUGACGGCGCGAGCAGGUGCGAAAGCAGGUCAUAGUGAUCCGGUGGUUCUGAAUGGAAGGGCCAUCGCUCAACGGAUAAAAGGUACUCCGGGGAUAACAGGCUGAUACCGCCCAAGAGUUCAUAUCGACGGCGGUGUUUGGCACCUCGAUGUCGGCUCAUCACAUCCUGGGGCUGAAGUAGGUCCCAAGGGUAUGGCUGUUCGCCAUUUAAAGUGGUACGCGAGCUGGGUUUAGAACGUCGUGAGACAGUUCGGUCCCUAUCUGCCGUGGGCGCUGGAGAACUGAGGGGGGCUGCUCCUAGUACGAGAGGACCGGAGUGGACGCAUCACUGGUGUUCGGGUUGUCAUGCCAAUGGCACUGCCCGGUAGCUAAAUGCGGAAGAGAUAAGUGCUGAAAGCAUCUAAGCACGAAACUUGCCCCGAGAUGAGUUCUCCCUGACUCCUUGAGAGUCCUGAAGGAACGUUGAAGACGACGACGUUGAUAGGCCGGGUGUGUAAGCGCAGCGAUGCGUUGAGCUAACCGGUACUAAUGAACCGUGAGGCUUAACCUU
rnacentral:rRNA from 1 species